rnacentral:rRNA from 1 species
CGUGUAGGCGGCUUGGUAAGUCAGAUGUGAAAGCCCAGGGCUCAACCCUGGAAGUGCAUUUGAUACUGCCGAGCUUGAGUAUGGGAGAGGAGAGCGGAAUUCCCAGUGUAGAGGUGAAAUUCGUAGAUAUUGGGAGGAACACCCGUGGCGAAGGCGGCUCUCUGGACCAAUACUGACGCUGAGACGCGAAAGCGUGGGGAGCAAACAGGAUUAGAUACCCUGGUAGUCC